GCGCCGGCCGCCCGCGGCGGGAUGGCCGUGGCCUGUGUUUAUGUAUUUUGUAGUAAUCACAUUUCUGACAUUACCCGCGGGGUGAUUGGCUCAGGCAGCUUUUAAACCACCUAUAUGCUAACGAGCCCGCCGCGGCUCCGGCGGGGGCCUGCGGGGGGACAGCGAACCCCAGCCCGCACCGCUGCCAGGCGGGGAGAGGGGGGGAUGGCAUUUCUGAACUAGUCGGCAGCGCGGACAGGAAAUGACCCCUCCAGAAACUGCUGCUUUAAAAGCGAGCGGCGGUGCCUGAAGCUAUCCAGCCUCCCUCUCCGUGUCUGGAGCCUGUGCGCUCCCGCUCCCCCCACCCCCCGCCCGUCUCCGCCGGAGCGGGCUCCCACAGCAGCCCCCAGCCAGUGCGUGCAGCCUGGAUGUGUGUGUGUGUGUGCGCGCCGCUACUUUGUACUGUGAAGAACACACAGCCCAUGUGCUCUGAGACACACACCAUACAUGGUGCAACCAGAGUACCGAAUAUAUGAAAUGAACAAGAGGCUGCAGUCGCGGACGGAGGAAUUGCAUUUAAAAUUCCCAGACAUCUAAAGCUUUUUCAGCGUCAAACUGACCACUGAUCUUAAAAAAAAUCAUCUACAUCAGCACCAACUCAAUCACUGACAAGGGCUGGAGGAAAUGAAACAUCUGGGAUCUAUUAAGAUUUUUAUUUAUGCUUUUAAAUAUUGAAGUGUGCAUGGCUGC
rnacentral:lncRNA from 1 species